rnacentral:rRNA from 1 species
CGGUUGAUCCUGCCGGAGGUCACUGCUAUUGGGAUUCGACUAAGCCAUGCGAGUCGAGAGGGUUCGGCCCUCGGCAAACUGCUCAGUAACACGUGGAUAAUCUGCCCNUNAGGUGGAGGAUAACCUUGGGAAACUGAGAAUAAUACUCCAUAGAUCUACGAUGUUGGAAUACACAUAGAUUGAAAGUUCCGACGCCUAAGGAUGAGUCUGCGGACUAUCAGGUUGUAGUCAGGGUAAGGACCUGACUAGCCUACAACGGAUACGGGUUGUGAGAGCAAUAACCCGGAGACGAUAUCUGAGACACGAUAUCGGGCCCUACGGGGCGCAGCAGGCGCGAAACCUUCACAAUGUGCGAAAGCGCGAUGAGGGGAUCCCAAGUGCUUGCACUUAAGUGUAAGCUGUUUCUUUGUUUAAAAUGCAGAGAGAGUAAGGGCUGGGUAAGACGGGUGCCAGCCGCCGCGGUAAUACCUGCAGCUCAAGUGGUGACCGCUAUUAUUGGGCCUAAAACGUCCGUAGCCUGCUGAGUAAAUGCUUGGGUAAAUCGUGCCGCUUAACGGUACGAAUUCCGGGUAGACUGCUCAGCUUGAGACCGGGAGAAGCUAGAGGUACUCCUGGGGUAGAGGUGAAAUUCUGUAAUCCUGGGGGGACCACCAGUGGCGAAGGCGUCUAGCUAGAACGGGUCUGACGGUGAGGGACGAAACCCUGGGGCGCGAACCGGAUUAGAUACCCGGGUAGUCCAGGGCGCAAACGCUGCUUGCUUGAUGUUAGCUGGGCUCCGAGCUCAGCUAGUGUCGGAGAGAAGUUGUUAAGCAAGCUGCCUGGGAAGUACGAUCGCAAGAUUGAAACUUAAAGGAAUUGGCGGGGGAGCAC